rnacentral:rRNA from 1 species
CGAACGGUAGAGUAGCAAUACUCGAGAGUGGCGAACGGGUGAGUAAUAUAUCGGAACGUGCCCAGUCGUGGGGGAUAACGUAAAGAAAUUUACGCUAAUACCGCAUACGAUCUAAGGAUGAAAGCGGGGGAUUCGCAAGAACCUCGCGCGAUUGGAGCGGCUGAUAUCAAAUUAGGUUGUUGGUGAGGUAAAAGCUCACCAAGCCGACGAUCUGUAGCUGGUUUGAGAGAACGACCAGCCACACUGGGACUGAGACACGGCCCAAACUCCUACGGGAGGCAGCAGUGGGGAAUUUUGGACAAUGGGCGAAAGCCUGAUCCAGCAAUGCCGCGUGCAGGAAGAAGGCCUUCGGGUUGUAAACUGCUUUUGUACGGAACGAAAAGGUCUGCCCUAAUACGGCGGGCCCAUGACGGUACCGUAAGAAUAAGCACCGGCUAACUACGUGCCAGCAGCCGCGGUAAUACGUAGGGUGCGAGCGUUAAUCGGAAUUACUGGGCGUAAAGCGUGCGCAGGCGGUUCUAUAAGACAGAUGUGAAAUCCCCGGGCUCAACCUGGGAAUGGCAUUUGUGACUGUAGAGCUAGAGUACGGUAGAGGGGGAUGGAAUUCCGCGUGUAGCAGUGAAAUGCGUAGAUAUGCGGAGGAACA